CCCUUAGAUGUUCUGGGCCGCACGCGUGCUACACUGAGUGGAUCAGCGGGUCAGGUUGCGCGAAAGCGUUUCCUAAUCUUUAAAUCCGCUCGUGAUGGGGAUUGACGGUUGCAAUUUUCUGUCUUGAACGAGGAAUACCUUGUAAGCGCGGGUCAUCAUCCCGCGCUGAAUACGUCCCUGCCCUUUGUACACACCGCCCGUCGCUCCUACCGAUUGAGUGGUCCGGUGAGGCUUUGGGAUCUGAGCGGAAAGAGCGUUUCGCUGUUUCUGCUCGGAAAACUCAGUCGAACCUUAUCAUUUAGAGGAAGGAGAAGUCGUAACA
rnacentral:rRNA from 1 species